UUACGACCACAUCCCGUUGAAACAUCAGUUCCAGUACAAUCACUGAAGUUAAGCAACAUUGAGCCUGGUCAGUACCUAGAUGGGUGACUGCUUGGGUAUACUAGGUGUUGUAAG